CGGGGAGCCGGCGAUGGUGGCCAUUACAUACAUUCUGCAUCUGACACUUAUUAUAAUGAUCCGAAUACAGGACAGCGUCUCACCGUUGACUACACGAACAGCUGGAACCUCAUGAAUACGGGCUUCAAGAGCACUUAUUUUUUUGUGGGACAAGUUAUAUUUUUCCAGCUUCAACAGCAUCCCACCUCAGUCACUGAUGACCACUUGUAGUCAUGACCAAGACCAGGGAGUGCUGUAUAGUGGGGACAGGCUCCAUUGGAACGUAAGCAGCUGGGGAGCAGGGCAGGUGAGUUUACCUUGUCUUAUUCCUUUUAGCCCUGCCUGAGCACAUUGGCAAGUAUAAAAAAUGGCCUGUAAACCCUGUACAUUUUUAGUUAGGUAAAUGGGUAAAAAAAAAUAUUCCACUAGCAAUAUUAUUUUACAUAUUUCACUAUAACACAAUAACUUUAUUACACAAGGGACUAUGAGUCCAGCCAUACUAACCCCUUCCUGAUCCAUGCCAUACAGAUAUGACUUGGGUUGGGUAAGGAAGUAUAGCGUGGACUCAGAAGCCGCGCCCACACCA